rnacentral:lncRNA from 1 species
AGGGCGGUCUUGUCAUCUGCAUCAAUGUAGCGAGAAUACUCAUGGUUGAAGUGACCGGCAUACUCUCGUAAUGACUUAUCCUGCUUUUGGCUAAUAGUGUACAAGUCAUCAAUUUAUAGCUCCGUCAUAAAGGGUGGAAGGGAAGAGAAGACAUCGCUCUUCAUCGGUGUGUAUCUGAUAUGCCAUGGUGGACUCAAAGAGGUUAAGGUGUUCAAUCAGGUCAUCCCUUACAGUAUAGAGUUGUAAACCAAGCUUUUGUUUUGUCUUCACUUGAAGAGGGUGUCGAGGAUCCUCCUUGUGAGAGGGUCAGGCUUGGGUUGGUUCUAGUCUGGUAUCUCGGCCUGACGUUUGGCCUUUAACUUGUUUACUUCCUCAAAGAGCUGU